UUGUCAGUUAGGGGUUUUUUUUCACCUCAUUGAGAAACGGUGGUGGCCAAGAGUUCAUAGUGACGUCGCAUUUGAUCCUUCGAUGUCAGCUCGUCCGAUCAUUGUGAAGCAUAAUUCACCAAGCGUUGGAUCGUUCACCCACUGAUAGGAAACAUGAGCUGAAAUUAGACCAUCGUGAGACAGGUUAGUUUUACCCUACUGAUAAUUUUGUUGUCCAAAUUGAAAUCCUGCUCAGUACGAGAGGAACUGCAGGUUCUGACAUUUGGUGUAUGUGCUUGGCUGAGGAGCCAUCUGUGGGAUUAUGACUUUAUGCCUCUAAGUCAGAAUUCCCCUAUAUCAAUAUUGCAGUGCCGAGGAGCCUCG